CUGAGCCUGCACGCGCCCGGCGUCCGGGAGGUCCGCUGCCAGGACCCGAAGGCCGCCUACCGUUUCCGCUACGACGGCCUGAAGCUGGUCCUGCAGUCCGGCGAUCGGUACCUGUUCCUCCCCGAGAGGUGGUCCCGCACCGAGGGCGUCGCCAUCGUCAUGCCCAGGAACGACUCGCUGCGCCUGGAGCUCGUCGCGGCAUCCGCCCGCGGCACCGUGCGGCGUUCCACCUGCUGAAGACCGAGCGCGCGUGUUACCGCAGAGAGCACUCUGACUCCAGUUGGAAUGCUCCGCGUACAGGGGACUGAGCGUGCCGUCGCCCCAGCGCACCCUGCCAAGCAUCUGGGCGUAGAACAGGUCGCUGUCCAGGCAUGGGCUCCACCAUGGGGUGGAGUC
rnacentral:misc_RNA from 1 species